rnacentral:tRNA from 1 species
GGUAUAGCUGAAUGGUGGAGUACGUGCUUAGCAUGCAUGAGGCUCUGGGUUUGAUCCCCUGUACC